rnacentral:rRNA from 1 species
GACGAACGCUGGCGGCGUGCCUAAUACAUGCAAGUCGAACGGAGUGGCGCACGGGUGAGUAAUAUAUAGCUAAUCUGCCCCUUGCUGGAGGACAACAGUUAGAAAUGACUGCUAAUACUCCAUAGGAAGUGAUGAGACUAUAGCGUAUCAGCUAGUCGGUGGGGUAACGGCCUACCGGGGCUAUGACGCGUAACUGGUCUGCGAGGAUGAUCAGUCACAUUUGAACUGAGACACAGUCCAAACUCCUACGGGAGGCAGCAGUAGGGAAUAGUGCGCAAUGGGGGAAACCCUGACGCAGCAACGCCGCGUGGAGGAUGACAUUUUACGGAGCGUAUACUCCUUUUGUUAGGGAAGCGGUACCUAACGAAUAAGCACCGGCUAACUCCGUGCCAGCCGCCGCGGUAAUUC